rnacentral:rRNA from 1 species
CCUACGGGAGGCAGCAGUGGGGAAUAUUGCACAAUGGGCGAAAGCCUGAUGCAGCAACGCCGCGUGAGUGAUGAAGGUCUUCGGAUUGUAAAACUCUGUCUUUGGGGACGAUAAUGACGGUACCCAAGGAGGAAGCCACGGCUAACUACGUGCCAGCAGCCGCGGUAAU